UUCAUCGGAAGAGGAUGGGCAUGCGGCGCAUUAGCUAGACGGCGGGGUAACGGCCCACCGUGGCGACGAUGCGUAGGGGUUCUGAGAGGAAGGUCCCCCACACUGGUACUGAGACACGGACCAGACUCCUACGGGAGGCAGCAGUGAGGAAUAUUGGUCAAUGGGAGAGAUCCUGAACCAGCCAAGCCGCGUGAGGGAAGACGGCCCUAUGGGUUGUAAACCUCUUUUGUCGGAGAACAAAACCCGGGACGUGUCCCGGACUGCGUGUAUCCGAAGAAAAAGCAUCGGCUAACUCCGUGCCAGCAGCCGCGGUAAUACGGAGGAUGCGAGCGUUAUCCGGAUUUAUUGGGUUUAAAGGGUGCGUAGGCGGUCCGUUAAGUCAGCGGUAAAAUUGCGGGGCUCAACCCCGUCGAGCCGUUGAAACUGGCAGACUUGAGUUGGCGAGAAGUACGCGGAAUGCGCGGUGUAGCGGUGAAAUGCAUAGAUAUCGCGCAGAACUCCGAUUGCGAAGGCAGCGUACCGGCGCCAGACUGACGCUGAGGCACGAAAGCGUGGGGAUCGAACAGGAUUAGAUACCCUGGUAGUCCACGCAGUAAACGAUGAAUGCUGGUUGUCCGGGUCGAAUGAGAUCUGG
rnacentral:rRNA from 1 species